UACGUAGGUGGCGAGCGUUAUCCGGAAUCAUUGGGCGUAAAGAGGGAGCAGGCGGCAGUGCAGGUCUGCGGUGAAAGACCGGAGCUAAACUUCGGUAAGCCGUGGAAACCGCACAGCUAGAGAGCAUCAGAGGAUCGCGGAAUUCCAUGUGUAGCGGUGAAAUGCGUAGAUAUAUGGAGGAACACCAGUGGCGAAGGCGGCGGUCUGGGGUGCAGCUGACGCUCAGUCCCGAAAGCGUGGGGAGCAAAUAGG
rnacentral:rRNA from 1 species